rnacentral:rRNA from 1 species
CAGAGGGUGCAAGCGUUGUUCGGAAUUACUGGGCGUAAAGCGCGUGUAGGUGGCGAUGUAAGUCGGGUGUGAAAUCCCUCAGCUUAACUGAGGAAGUGCACUCGAUACUGUGUCGCUUGAGUGUUGGAGGGGAUGGCGGAAUUCCCGGUGUAGAGGUGAAAUUCGUAGAUAUCGGGAGGAACACCUGUGGCGAAGGCGGCCAUCUGGACAACUACUGACACUGAGACGCGAAAGCGUGGGUAGCAAACAGGAUUAGAUACCCUGGUAGUCCACGCUGUAAACGAUGAGUGCUAGACGUCAUGGGUAUUGACCCCUGUGGUGUCGAAGUUAACACGUUAAGCACUCCGCCUGGGGAGUACGGUCGCAAGGCUG